rnacentral:rRNA from 1 species
UACGUAGGUGGCAAGCGUUGUUCGGAUUUACUGGGCGUAAAGGGCGCGUAGGCGGCAAUUCAAGUCAUCUGUGAAAUCUCCGGGCUUAACUCGGAACGGUCAGAUGAUACUGCUUUGCUAGAGUGCAGAAGGGGCAAUCGGAAUUCUUGGUGUAGCGGUGAAAUGCGUAGAUAUCAAGAGGAACACCUGAGGUGAAGACGGGUUGCUGGGCUGACACUGACGCUGAGGCGCGAAAGCCAGGGGAGCAAACGGG